UACGCUUGGCGUCUGCUUCCCCUCACUAGCUCCGUGCCUCAGCUUGCUGCCCUGUAAAGUGGGAAGGGUACUGGCACGGAGCCAGGGAGCCGUUGUGAGGAUUAGUGGAUUGAUCUUUGGAAAGCACACGCGUCGCCCCCAAGCCAGUCUGAACUUUGCUAUUCCACGCUAAGACUGACGCCAGCCAGCCCUAGCCCCUCCCUUAAAGGCCCUGUCAAGGGCGACGCUGCCGCAGACACACAGCAAAGCAGGAUGACGUCAUUUACGCUGGUACCGGUUCCUUCCUGUGAGCUGCUCACGUAGAAGAAAGAUGACAGGAAAAGAGCGGAAAGGAUGGGAAAAUGUUUGCUUGAAGCCAACACUCAGAGAGGACAAGGACAAAGCCCACAGCUGCCUAAAACUUCUUCCUUCCAGCUGCAGAUUCCACGUCCUCCAGACCGUCUCCACCCCAAAGCGGCUGAGAGGCGCAGUCUCUCCCUCUUUUAUUUGGUUUGAUCUCCCUCCUUUCCCUUCAGCUGAAGCAGCAGCUGCCUCUUCCUUGGCUGAGUGUGAAUUCUGAUCCUACCGUUUAUUUCACUCUGCAGUCCAGGUCUCCUGGGACCCGCGGAGUUGAAACUGCUGACCACACAACAGUAUCCAGUUUCAGGAGAGCAUUGUUCCACAGAGAGCACAAGCAUACACCUGUUGAUGGAGUCAGCCUGCGGGUUUUCCAUGCUGAUACCAAUAAGGAUUUAUCAUGGAACAAGAUGCAAAAAAUCGAUCCGAUUUCACAAGAUAAAAUACGAAAAAAGCAACUGCUCAUUGCUGGUCUCCUGCAGGAGCUCCAGGCUGUUUAGGAGAAAAGUCAGCAAUGACUGUGCUUUGGGAAUGAAUUUUGUUAAAGCCUUCCCACUAUUGUCAGCAACAAGGAGCUUGGCUUCCAACAUGGUUAUAAUUUUUUUCUUUUUUUGCUUACUUCCUAACUUCUAAUUGCUCUCUGUGACCUACUGAACUUAGAAAAAUAAAUUGCACACACCAUGAAAUAACAA